rfam:TPA: Bos taurus chromosome 13, whole genome shotgun sequence.
UCCCUGGUGGUCCAAUGGUUAAGAUUCUGUGCUUCCACUGCAGUGGGCAUGGGUUUGAUUCCUGGUCAGGGAA